UUCUUUUUUUUAAUUUUUGGUCGGUGGCGGCGGUGCUGGGCUAGGGAAAGAAGGGACACGGAGGCCGCCCUCGCCCCGCCACCUCCUAUCCGCUUCCCUCAGCCCCGGCUCCGAGAUGUGCCGGUGGGGGCCCGGGUUCGCGGAGCCGCAGGAGAGACACGCUGGGCCGACCCCAGAGCGGCGCUGGACAGGCUGGUGGUCCAGGCCGUGGUGCCCGCCAGGUGAUGCGGGGCGAAGUCCCCCGCACAGGCCACUGAGAGUCCCGGACACGCACCGGCUGCCACCAUGGCCCGCCCUGGCCGCGAGUGCUCUGGAAUCUGUGUGUCACCGCCGUCCUGGUCACCUCGGCCACCCAAGACCUCAGCUGAAGCAGGCCAGCGGAAGACUCAGUGGUAACACACACCCCAGCGCCACCAAGAGGCCCCUGGACCAUCCCCUCACCUCCAACAAGUCGGCUGGGCCAGGUUGGUAGGGGCCAUCCUGCUGUGGCCCCUGGGACGAGGACAGGCCUUGGUGAGCCGAUGCUUCUCUCUCUCUCUCUCUCUCUCUCUCUGUGAUUACAUCUUCAAGGCUCUCACUGGGAAGAAGGCUUAAUUAAAGCAUGCCCGCUGACGUUUAUUUAAAAACAACUAAUUACCCGCUCAGCCCUAUGCCGGCCCUGGGAUCCUGCACACGCCACAAUUAGUGCCCCAAGCCUGCCCGCCCACCCUCACCGGUUACUCAAUUACUGGCCCCGUGGCGGGCCCAGGCCAGGGGCAAGGGCAGGAUAAGGUGAGAGGCCAAGAGAAGAGGCCAGUGGGCCUGGCCCCUCACCCUGGGAUGUGCCCCCUGCCCGCCCUGACAUCCCUUCACACACCCGCCGUGUGAAGGGCAUCGGCGGGUGACUCUGCUCCCUCCGGCCCUGCCCUCUGGAAAGCUCCAAAGGUUGAAGGGACACGGUUCGGCUGGGCCCCAGGGCCUUGGCACUGCCCCGCUGGCCAGCAGCCUCACUCCCCUGCUGCUACAUUCUCUGCCCAUCCAGGUCCUGCCCCAUAGCCCCAGCUGGGCCGGGAGGGGCCGCCUCCACCCCCAGACCCAUCUGAGCCAGGCUUCCACCCCCGGCCCUCCCUCCCAAGCCCGGGAAGGCUAAAAUUAGAUGAGGAGGCAGAUGGUGCUGGAGGAACACAUGUGAAAUGUUCCCCCUGCUGGGACUCAACUCACCCCAAAAAACCCCAGGGGCCUCCCUGCCAUACCCCUGGGGUACCCACCCAGAUCUCUGGAAAGGUUCGACUCCGUAACUGUCCCACACGAGUGCCCCCCCGAAACCUCGUACGGCAGGGGGUCACUUCCUUCACCUCCAAGAGACGGUCCCCACAUUGGGGGCGUCUGGGCCCCUGGCUGAAUCCUGCUCCCUCCAGCACCCCGCACGGCCUGGCUGGGACCAGCGUCACAGAAGGUGCUGCCCCGGCCAGCAUGGACCCUGCCAGGCACCCUCUGUUGUGCAGACAAACCGCCUUAAUAAUACUCAUAAUAACAAUAAUUAGCAUUCAUAUCAUCUUAUCUACGCCUGCACAUUAACACCCCUGGAGC
rnacentral:lncRNA from 1 species